CCUACGGGAGGCAGCAGUGAGGAAUAUUGGUCAAUGGACGAGAGUCUGAACCAGCCAAGUAGCGUGAAGGAUGACUGCCCUAUGGGUUGUAAACUUCUUUUAUAAAGGAAUAAAACGAGGCACGUGUGCCUUUUUGCAUGUACUUUAUGAAUAAGGAUCGGCUAACUCCGUGCCAGCAGCCGCGGUAAUCCGGAGGAUCCGAGCGUUAUCCGGAUUUAUUGGGUUUAAAGGGAGCGUAGAUGGGUUGUUAAGUCAGUUGUGAAAGUUUGCGGCUCAACCGUAAAAUUGCAAUUGAUACUGGCAGUCGUGAGUACAGUUGAGGUAGGCGGAAUUCGUGGUGUAGCGGUGAAAUGCUUAGAUAGCACGAAGAACUCCGAUUGCGAAGGCAGCUUACUAAACUGCCACUGACAUUGAUGCUCGAAAGUGUGGGUAUCAAACAGGAUUAGAUACCCGUGUAGUC
rnacentral:rRNA from 1 species